GAUUAAGUUAUUAAGGGCGCACGGUGGAUGCCUUGGCACUAGAAGCCGAUGAAGGACGUUACUAACGACGAUAUGCUUUGGGGAGCUGUAAGUAAGCUUUGAUCCAGAGAUUUCCGAAUGGGGAAACCCAGCAUGAGUUAUGUCAUGUUAUCGAUAUGUGAAUACAUAGCAUAUCAGAAGGCACACCCGGAGAACUGAAACAUCUUAGUACCCGGAGGAAGAGAAAGAAAAUUCGAUUCCCUUAGUAGCGGCGAGCGAAACGGGAAGAGCCCAAACCAACAAGCUUGCUUGUUGGGGUUGUAGGACACUCUAUACGGAGUUACAAAGGACGACAUUAGACGAAUCAUCUGGAAAGAUGAAUCAAAGAAGGUAAUAAUCCUGUAGUCGAAAAUGUUGUCUCUCUUGAGUGGAUCCUGAGUACGACGGAGCACGUGAAAUUCCGUCGGAAUCUGGGAGGACCAUCUCCUAAGGCUAAAUACUCUCUAGUGACCGAUAGUGAACCAGUACCGUGAGGGAAAGGUGAAAAGCACCCCGGAAGGGGAGUGAAAUAGAACCUGAAACCGUGUGCUUACAAGUAGUCAGAGCCCGUUAAUGGGUGAUGGCGUGCCUUUUGUAGAAUGAACCGGCGAGUUACGAUUUGAUGCAAGGUUAAGCAGUAAAUGUGGAGCCGUAGCGAAAGCGAGUCUGAAUAGGGCGUUUAGUAUUUGGUCGUAGACCCGAAACCAGGUGAUCUACCCUUGGUCAGGUUGAAGUUCAGGUAACACUGAAUGGAGGACCGAACCGACUUACGUUGAAAAGUGAGCGGAUGAACUGAGGGUAGCGGAGAAAUUCCAAUCGAACCUGGAGAUAGCUGGUUCUCUCCGAAAUAGCUUUAGGGCUAGCCUCAAGUGAUGAUUAUUGGAGGUAGAGCACUGUUUGGACGAGGGGCCCCUCUCGGGUUACCGAAUUCAGACAAACUCCGAAUGCCAAUUAAUUUAACUUGGGAGUCAGAACAUGGGUGAUAAGGUCCGUGUUCGAAAGGGAAACAGCCCAGACCACCAGCUAAGGUCCCAAAAUAUAUGUUAAGUGGAAAAGGAUGUGGCGUUGCCCAGACAACUAGGAUGUUGGCUUAGAAGCAGCCAUCAUUUAAAGAGUGCGUAAUAGCUCACUAGUCGAGUGACACUGCGCCGAAAAUGUACCGGGGCUAAACAUAUUACCGAAGCUGUGGAUUGUCCUUUGGACAAUGGUAGGAGAGCGUUCUAAGGGCGUUGAAGCAUGAUCGUAAGGACAUGUGGAGCGCUUAGAAGUGAGAAUGCCGGUGUGAGUAGCGAAAGACGGGUGAGAAUCCCGUCCACCGAUUGACUAAGGUUUCCAGAGGAAGGCUCGUCCGCUCUGGGUUAGUCGGGUCCUAAGCUGAGGCCGACAGGCGUAGGCGAUGGAUAACAGGUUGAUAUUCCUGUACCACCUAUAAUCGUUUUAAUCGAUGGGGGGACGCAGUAGGAUAGGCGAAGCGUGCGAUUGGAUUGCACGUCUAAGCAGUAAGGCUGAGUAUUAGGCAAAUCCGGUACUCGUUAAGGCUGAGCUGUGAUGGGGAGAAGACAUUGUGUCUUCGAGUCGUUGAUUUCACACUGCCGAGAAAAGCCUCUAGAUAGAAAAUAGGUGCCCGUACCGCAAACCGACACAGGUAGUCAAGAUGAGAAUUCUAAGGUGAGCGAGCGAACUCUCGUUAAGGAACUCGGCAAAAUGACCCCGUAACUUCGGGAGAAGGGGUGCUCUUUAGGGUUAACGCCCAGAAGAGCCGCAGUGAAUAGGCCCAAGCGACUGUUUAUCAAAAACACAGGUCUCUGCUAAACCGUAAGGUGAUGUAUAGGGGCUGACGCCUGCCCGGUGCUGGAAGGUUAAGAGGAGUGGUUAGCUUCUGCGAAGCUACGAAUCGAAGCCCCAGUAAACGGCGGCCGUAACUAUAACGGUCCUAAGGUAGCGAAAUUCCUUGUCGGGUAAGUUCCGACCCGCACGAAAGGCGUAACGAUUUGGGCACUGUCUCAACGAGAGACUCGGUGAAAUCAUAGUACCUGUGAAGAUGCAGGUUACCCGCGACAGGACGGAAAGACCCCGUGGAGCUUUACUGUAGCCUGAUAUUGAAAUUCGGCACAGCUUGUACAGGAUAGGUAGGAGCCUUUGAAACGUGAGCGCUAGCUUACGUGGAGGCGCUGGU
rnacentral:rRNA from 1 species